AUUGAACGCUGGCGGCAUGCCUUACACAUGCAAGCCGAACGGCAGCACGGGGCAACCUGGUGGCGAGUGGCGAACGGGUGAGUAAAGUAUCGGAACGUACCAUUCAGUGGGGGAUAACGUAGCGAAAGUUACGCUAAUACCGCAUAUUCUCUCCGGAGGAAAGCAGGGGAUCGCAAGACCUUGCGCUGAUUGAGCGGCCGAUAUCAGAUUAGCUAGUUGGUGAGGUAAAGGCUCACCAAGGCGACGAUCUGUAGCGGGUCUGAGAGGAUGAUCCGGCAGACUGGAACUGAGACACGGUCCAGACUCCUACGGGAGGCAGCAGUGGGGAAUUUUGGACAAUGGGCGCAAGCCUGAUCCAGCCAUGCCGCGUGAGUGAAGAAGGCCUUCGGGUUGUAAAGCUCUUUCGGCCGGGAAGAAAUCGCAUGGGUUAAUACCCUGUGUGGAUGACGGUACCGGAAUAAGAAGCACCGGCUAACUACGUGCCAGCCGCCGCCGUAAUAC
rnacentral:rRNA from 1 species